AUGUGUACACUAAUCACACAAGCACAUGCAUGUAGACUUUUUCUUAUACACACUGCCGUGCCCAUAGCAGCUCAUCUGACAAGGGUAGAUUCUCACAGGAGAUGCUUGAAGUGCCGCAUCCCCUCCGGACCCAAGACCUGGAUCUAAGGAGCUCUAGAAGAACAGCCAAGAGCCCAGAAGCCAUGCCCCUCCUCUAGACCCUUCCCCUACCUACUUCGGGAAGGCUCCCCUCUCCACCAGCGGUCGCCUGCCAUCUGACGGGGAGCCCCCUUCUCCAAUGGGCGGUGCAGGACCCCAGGCCUGGGCCUGGGCCUGGGGCAGCAGCAAAACAGAGCCACCCAAAACAAGAGAGGAGAAUCAGAAA